UGAUUGGGGCCCCCUCUGCUGUCCGAUGACACUACAUGCUGGGAUGAGAGAAGAGUCACCUUCAACUCCUUUCCAUUCCUCCAGACUGCUUGUGAUUGUUAUUGAAAUGAUCUCACAAUACUUACUGAAUUAUAAGAACACACUGCAAAGGGAUGGAAGACAAUAGCUCUCAAGCAGACAGUGUCGUAUGUUCUGGCUGGUUGGUAAUUCCAGCCGGGAAAGCUUAUGAAGGCCCAGCCCUUUGAUCACUUGUGAAAAUAUGGUAGAUUGGAGGCCUCAGAUGAUGACCUGUAGCCCUGGCCCAGCAGGGUAGAUGGAAAAUGAUGAAUUAGUCUGAGUAAUUCAACCAGCUGCACUAAGAACAGAACCAAUUUGGCCAAGGCAGAAAUCACAGAUUGGACCCAAUAGUUGCUGUUGCUGUAUGAGCACGUUGGCUUUGUUUUUUCUCCAGUGAAAAGUCUACAAUGAACCCGGAAACUGCUGCAGGGAAGAAAUUAAUGUCUGACUCCAAAGGGUCUGGAAAAGGGGCUGAGAUGAAAAAUCCAUGAAGAGCAAGACCUGCUGCUAGCAGAAUGUAUUGGCUUUCCCCUUCUGAAUGAAAGGCGUGACAUCAAUGACAUGCCUCCAUGCCUGAGUUGUGUCAGCGAAGCGGCAGGUGACAG